rnacentral:piRNA from 1 species
UGCCAGAUAGCCAAGAAUGAUCUUUUAGCU